rnacentral:tRNA from 1 species
GGGGGCGUCUUCUAAGGGGGAAGAAACCAGACUGUAAAUCUGGGAAUGCGGGUUCGAGACCCGUCGCCUCCA